UACGUAGGGGGCUAGCGUUACUCGGAAUUACUGGGCGUAAAGGGCGCGUAGGCGGCCUGAUAAGUCAGGCGUGAAAUUCCCGGGCUCAACCUGGGGACUGCGGUUGAGACUGUUGAGCUAGAGGAUGGAAGAGGGUCGUGGAAUUCCCAGUGUAGAGGUGAAAUGCGUAGAGAUUGGGAAGAACACCGGUGGCGAAGGCGGCGACCUGGUCCAUUACUGACGCUGAGGCGCGACAGCGUGGGGAGCAAACAGG
rnacentral:rRNA from 1 species